rnacentral:rRNA from 1 species
GACGAACGCUGGCGGCGUGCUUAACACAUGCAAGUCGAACGGAAAGGCCCUGCUUUUGUGGGUGCUCGAGUGGCGAACGGGUGAGUAACACGUGAGUAACCUGCCCUUGACUUUGGGAUAACUUCAGGAAACUGGGGCUAAUACCGGAUAGGAGCUCCUGCUGCAUGGUGGGGGUUGGAAAGUUUCGGCGGUUGGGGAUGGACUCGCGGCUUAUCAGCUUGUUGGUGGGGUAGUGGCUUACCAAGGCUUUGACGGGUAGCCGGCCUGAGAGGGUGACCGGCCACAUUGGGACUGAGAUACGGGCCCAGACUCCUACGGGAGGCAGCAGUGGGGAAUAUUGCACAAUGGGCGGAAGCCUGAUGCAGCAACGCCGCGUGCGGGAUGGACGGCCUUC